CGCCGAAGGUGGGGCUGAUGACUGGGGUGAAGUCGUAACAAGGUAGCCGUACCGGAAGGUGCGGCUGGAUCACCUCCUAACAGGGAGACAACAACUGAUUUUGAUGUCUAAGUUCUUUAUAUUCUUAGGCCAAAAUCCUGUCACCUUAGGUCGAUCGGUACCUCAAUUUGUUUUACUUUAUAAUCAAAUUCAGUUCCUAAACUUGUCUAGGUCACACCCAAUAAGGGUACUCCUGGGCCAUUAGCUCAGGUGGUUAGAGCGCACCCCUGAUAAGGGUGAGGUCCCUGGUUCAAGUCCAGGAUGGCCCAUUCGGUGUUGGGGGUAUAGCUCAGUUGGUAGAGCGCCUGCUUUGCAAGCAGGAUGUCAGCGGUUCGAGUCCGCUUACCUCCACUGAUCGACCUCCUUAACGAAUAUGAAGGAGAUAGUUCUUAUUUGGAUGUGAUUUAGACUGAUUUUACUUGAAAGAACCUAGCUUCUUAUCAUUCCUUUUUUCGAGAUUCAAAGAAUCUCAUUGGUUGGUAGGACGCUGGGCUCACUGUGAGUUCAUUGCUUGCAGGAAAGUUCAGUAGAACCUUGACAACUGCAUAGGUAAGUCUGUAAUGAAUAAAGCAUCUCAUGGAUGCACAGUUUGAAAAACAAUUGUGCUUAAUUCUUGAGCAAAGAGCUGAGCUUCUAUAUCGAUAUUUUGAAUAUUCGAUAUAGAUAAAUUAUGGUCAAGCUACAAAGGGCUCACGGUGGAUACCUUGGCACACA
rnacentral:misc_RNA from 1 species